GCCUGGGUGGCUCAGUCGGUUAAGCGUCUGACUUCAGCUCCGGUCAUGAUCUCCUGGUUCGUGAGUUCAAGACCCACCUCAGGCU
rnacentral:tRNA from 1 species